rnacentral:tRNA from 1 species
GCGCGGUUGCCGGAAUUGGUUAACGGUCCUGUCUGCAAAAUAGGUAUUUGUCAGUUCGAGUCUGACACCGUGCU